UACGUAGGGUGCAAGCGUUGUCCCGGAAUUAUUGGGCGUAAAGAGCGUGUAGGCGGCCCCGAUUAGUCCGCUGUGAAAGUCCAGGGGCUCAACCCUGGAAUGCCCGGUGGGAUACUGUCGGGGCUAGAGGUCCCGGAAGGGGGCGAGUGGAAUUCCUGGUGUACGCGGUGAAAUGCGCAGAUACUCAGGAGGGAACACCCAAUGGCGAAGGCAGCUCGCUGGGACGUGACUGACGCUGAGACGCGAAAAGCGUGGGGAGCAA
rnacentral:rRNA from 1 species